rfam:Candidatus Woesebacteria bacterium RBG_16_36_11 RBG_16_scaffold_13, whole genome shotgun sequence.
GGUGAGGUGCGAGAGUGGUUUAUUCGACACGAUUGGAGAUCGUGAGUAGCCGCAAGGUUACCGAGGGUUCGAAUCCCUCCCUCACCG